UACGUAGGGUGCAAGCGUUGUCCGGAAUUAUUGGGCGUAAAGGGCUCGUAGGCGGUCCAUCGCGUCGGGAGUGAAAAGCUGGGGCUCAACCCCAGUCCUGCUUUCGAUACGGGUGGACUAGAGGUAUGCAGGGGAGAACGGAAUUCCUGGUGUAGCGGUGAAAGUGCGCAGAUAUCGGGAGGAACACCAGUAGCGAAGGCGGCUCCCUGGGCCAUUACUGACGCUGAGAAGCGAAAGCAUGGGAGCGAACGAGG
rnacentral:rRNA from 1 species